CGUGAGAUGUUGGGUUAAGUCCCGCAACGAGCGCAACCCUUGAUCUUAGUUGCCAUCAUUUAGUUGGGCACUCUAAGGUGACUGCCGGUGACAAACCGGAGGAAGGUGGGGAUGACGUCAAAUCAUCAUGCCCCUUAUGACCUGGGCUACACACGUGCUACAAUGGACGGUACAAAGAGCUGCAAGACCGCGAGGUGGAGCUAAUCUCAUAAAACCGUUCUCAGUUCGGAUUGUAGGCUGCGACUCGCCUACAUGAAGCUGGAAUCGCUAGUAAUCGCGGAUCAGCAUGCCGCGGUGAAUACGUUCCCGGGCCUUGUACACACCGCCCG
rnacentral:rRNA from 1 species